ACUAGAUAUCCGAAAGAGUACAUAGUUGUUCUGUUGAAAGGAAUGUCACUUUUCAAGUGUAAGAGUAAGAUUUAAGUUACAUAUAAGGGCUAUAAUUGGAAAGAGUGUUAGAAAAGUUUUUGUAAGUGUAUUUUUCCACCAUUUUUUUUUCUGUUACUUGCUACUACUUCUACUACUGACUAUACUAUCACUAGUUUUUGCAGUGAAUUUUAAGGAAACAUGAUUUAGUAGAAGUGGUUGUUGUUUUCAUUUCAGUUAUCUUCUCUUCUCAUACAUUUUUAUUAAGUUUCUUCCCCCCUCCCCCAACAAACUUCUUGAAUUAAACUCCUUUCUGGAAUUGAAUCAGUUUAAGGAACCCUAAAUUUCUUCAUGAAUAUGAUUAGAUUGUCUCUCUACAAAAAGUAAUUCAUAUUUUCUUGUUUGCAUUAACUGAUGACAAUGGAGACUAGUGAAGACUGUUGUGUAAAAGUUGCAGUUCAUGUUAGACCAUUAAUUGGUGAUGAAAGAUUACAAGGUUGUAUAGAUUGUGUUAAUGUUGUUCCUGGCAAACCACAGAUACAAAUCGGGACACAUUCUUUCACUUUUGAUCAUGUCUAUGGAAGCAGUGGCUCUCCAUCAUCUUCCAUGUUUGAAGAGUGUGUUGCUCCACUUGUAGACGGUUUAUUCCAAGGAUACAAUGCCACUGUUCUUGCUUAUGGUCAGACUGGUUCAGGGAAAACAUACACCAUGGGGACAGGUUCCAAUGAUUCUCAAUCAGGUCUCAUCCCUCAAGUAAUGAAUGCUCUGUUCAGGAAAAUGGAAACUUUGAAGCAUGAAUCAGAAUUCCAAUUAAAUGUUUCCUUCAUUGAGAUUUUAAAAGAAGAGGUGCACGACUUGCUAGAUUCCACAUCUUUAAACAAAUCAGAAACUACCAAUGGACAUGCUGUGAAAAUUGCGAGCCCUGGUAAACCACCAAUUCAAAUUCGUGAGUCAUCAAAUGGUGUUAUAACAUUAGCUGGAUCAACUGAAGUUGGUGUUAGUGCACUAAAAGAAAUGGCCGCAUGCCUUGAACAAGGAUCAUUAAGUAGGGCAACAGGAAGCACAAACAUGAACAACCAGUCCAGUCGUUCGCAUGCUAUAUUCACAAUUACUCUAGAGCAGAUUCGUAAACCCAAACCAGCUUCUCCUGGGGAUACCAACCAAUAUGAGGAUAUGAGUGAAGAAUAUCUAUGUGCAAAGCUCCAUUUGGUGGAUCUUGCUGGAUCAGAGAGAGCUAAACGAACGGGCUCUGAUGGUCUUCGUUUUAAGGAAGGAGUUCAUAUCAACAAGGGACUUCUUGCACUUGGUAACGUGAUAAGUGCACUUGGUGACGAGAAGAAGAGGAAAGAAGGCGCUCACGUGCCUUAUAGGGACAGUAAACUUACUCGUCUCUUGCAGGAUUCACUUGGUGGAAACAGCAGAACUGUUAUGAUAGCUUGCAUCAGCCCAGCUGAUAUUAAUGUUGAGGAGACUCUUAAUACUCUCAAGUAUGCUAAUCGAGCUCGAAAUAUUCAGAAUAAGCCCAUUGUUAAUAGGGAUCCUAGAUCCAAUGAGAUGCAAAAAAUGCGUCAGCAACUUGAAUGUUUGCAAGCAGAACUACUUACUCGUAGUGCAAGAGUUUCAUCUGAAGAAGUUCAGGUUCUCAAAGAAAGGAUUGCUUGGCUUGAGGCCUCUAAUGCAGAUCUCUGUAGGGAACUUCAUGAGUACCGUCGCAGAAGCAAUUCAGUAGAGCAUUGUGCAACCAAUUCUCCACAAGGUGCAGACAGUGUUCCAAAAAGCGAUGGGCUAAAGAGGGGCUUGCAGAAUCUUGGCUCAUCAGAUUUGAUAAUGGCUGAAACCAUCACAUGUGACAAUUCCAAAGAAAUUGAUGAAGAAGUAGCAAAAGAGUGGGAGCAUACACUUCUGCAAAAUACCAUGGACAAAGAAUUAAAUGAGUUAAAUAAGCGUCUGGAACAAAAAGAGUCAGAGAUGAAACUGUUUGGAGGUUUUGAUACUAUGGCACUGAAGCAGCACUUUGGGAAGAAAAUCAUGGAACUUGAGGACGAGAAAAGAACUGUGCAGCAAGACAGGGAUCGUCUGUUGGCUGAAGUUGAAAGUCUCGCUGCUAAUUCUGAUGGUCAAACUCAGAAAAUGCAAGAUGUUCACACACAUAAACUUAAGGCACUUGAAGCACAGAUUUUGGAUCUCAAGAAGAAGCAGGAUGGUCAAGUUCAGAUUGUAAAGCAAAAACAAAGAACUGAUGAAGCAACUAAGCGGCUACAGGAUGAAAUACAAUAUAUCAAGUCACAGAAGGUCCAACUUCAACAUAGGAUUAAGCAAGAGGCAGAGCAGUUUCGCCAGUGGAAGGCCUCUCGAGAAAAGGAACUUUUACAGCUGCGGAAAGAGGGUAGGAAAAAUGAGUAUGAACGGCAUAAACUACAGGCUCUAAAUCAGCGUCAGAAAAUGGUUCUUCAAAGAAAAACUGAAGAGGCUGCCAUGGCAACCAAAAGGCUAAAAGAGUUGCUUGAAGGUCGCAAGUCUUCAUCGCGUGAUAGCUCAGGGACUACUAACGGUAAUCACCAAAAUAAUGAGAAAUCCUUACAAAAAAUGCUUGAUCAUGAGCUAGAAGUUCUGGUGAAUGUGCAUGAAGUUCGCCUCGAGUAUGAAAAGCAAAGCCAAGUACGAGCUGCUCUGGCAGAAGAGUUGGCCAUAUUGAAACAAGAGGAUGGUUUUGCUUCCAAGGGGUUUAAUUCCCCUAGCAAAAAGAAUGGGCACUCAAGAGUAUCCUCCAUGACGCCAAAUACAAGAAUGUCAAGAAUUGCAUCUCUUGAGAGCAUGAUGAGCAUUUCUUCGAAUGCACUUGUAGCAAUGGCAUCUCAACUUUCAGAAGCAGGAGAGAGGGAGCGUGCCUUCACUGGCCGUGGACAUUGGAAUCAGUUGCGUACAAUGGUAGAUGCAAAGAACUUGCUUCAACAAAUGUUUAAUGCUGCUGCAGAUGCAAGAUGUCGGUUAUGGGAAAAGGAAGUUGAAGUUAAGGAAAUGAAAGAACAAUUGAAGGAGCUCGUUGGUCUACUGCGACAAAGUGAGGCACGGCGAAAAGAGAUUGAGAAGCAGCAAAAGUUGAGAGAGCAAUCCGUGGCAGUUGCCUUGGCUACAUCAACUAAGGGCAACGGAAACGUUUCACCAAAAUAUUUCGCUGAUGACAUGUGUGGAUCUAUGAAUCCAAUGGCAGUGCUGGCGCAAAAGCAACUUAAAUUCACACCAGGCAUAGCUAAUGGUUCAAUCAGAGAAUCAGCAGCCUUUUUGGACCAAACGCGAAAGAUGGUACCGAUUGGGCAGUUAUCGAUGGGAAAGAAACUGGCAGUUGCAGGUCAAGCUGGGAAGCUCUGGAAGUGGAAGAGAAGUCACCACCAAUGGUUGGUACAAUACAAAUGGAAGUGGCAAAAGCCAUGGAGACUCUCUGAAUAUAUCAGACAUAGUGAUGAAACGAUCGUCCGAACAAAGCCCAGGCAGCAGAUUCGUGCAGCGUGAUUUAUUAUAUAUGAGACAAUUUCCAAUUCUUACAUGCUCUAUUUUCAGCUUUGAAUGAUAGAGAUGAUCCCCAACAAAAUGCACGGAGUAGAAACAAGGAUAUUGUGCAUAUGUUGUGCUGUAAAUUAGUGGUGGGAGAUCGCGGCUUUGUCUGAGAUAAGCAGAUGUAUAAUUGUGGUAAAUUUGCUCAGAUAGUAGUAUCUCAGUUUGCCAAUGUCAGAUAAAGAAGUUAUAUCUCAGUUGGGAUACACACAAUGAGCGGCAUCAUGUAAAGUGUUUUCGAUGUUGUUCUAGGUGGGUAACCUACAGUUGUUGUAGUAGCAGUGAUACUAGUGGUGAUUGAAGGCUAGAAAAGUUGAAUGGUAUAAGUAGGCGUUGGUUUUCAUGGAUAUGUAAGGGUAGUAGUAAGUAACUAGUCUAUUGUUUGUUCAUUUUUCACUCUCAUUUUUCUUCUAAUUUUUUUCAAUCACAGAGAAAAAAGAGAGUGAGAUCUUCUAGUGUGCCAUGGCCUUGGAUGGGACACGCUCAUUGUAAUAAUUAAUUGUUAUGAUUAUUGUUUUCAUAGUGUGGAAAAAGUAAAAAAGAGAUCAAUUGAAGUUUUUUUUUGUUUUGUGUAUAGACGAAAAAACUGAAGUGGUGUGUUGUUUAAAUAAAGUGGUAAUUAU